rnacentral:rRNA from 1 species
GGUCCGGGCGUUAUCCGGAUUUAUUGGGUUUAAAGGGAGCGCAGGCGGACGUUUAAGUCAGUUGUGAAAUACGGCGGCUCAACCGUACCUCGCCGUUGAAACUGGUGGCCUUGAGUGCACACAGGGAUGCUGGAAUUCGUCGUGUAGCGGUGAAAUGCUUAGAUAUGACGAGGAACUCCGAUCGCGAAGGCAGGUGUCCGGGGUGCCACUGACGCUGAGGCUCGAAGGUGCGGGUAUC